GGGCGGUGAAUCGUUGGUGGUUUUCGACAAUGUCCUAUCCGAGAGAAUAGUCAUAAAAGAGACAGAGAUUCGACCUUGGGACAUGAUCGCAUCGAUGUAAACGGUGACCAAGCCCCGGGAGAGGAGGUCAGAACCUA
ensembl:ncRNA F32H2.13 ncRNA